rnacentral:lncRNA from 1 species
GCUGGAUCUGAGAGCUCUGAGCAGCUGUGAAGCUGUAUCUGACUAGAAUACCAUGACUGCUUUGCCAAUGCUGAGAGAGAACAUAAAUGUUUAGGAGAUUUAUAGCUGUAGGAGUAAGGUGGCACACAAAUUUGAAGCUGAGAAUGGUUCUUGUAGGACCAGAACGUUACUUUUGGCUCAGGAAGAGGCCACAAGAUGCAUUGUUUGUUACUGAAGUUGUAGUCCUGGUGUCCUGCGUGACUUUCUCCAGACGAGAGGUGCUUCUCAAAACUCUCCGGCUCUUUUCAGUCGAACUCUGAUCUUCCAGCUAUGUGAUGGAGAUUUACAAAGUUCUUUGACUGAGGUCACCUAGCUGUUUCCACGAGAGCAGAGGACUGAACCCAAUGCUCUUCAGAUCAGAGAAGAGCAUGACCACGGUCUAGUUUGCUCUCAUUAAAAUUUCCAUGCGUGGCACGGAACAAUAUAUACAGCACAACAUUGCUUGAUUGUUUUAUAAUGGGCUCAGUUUAGUAGAUUAACUUCUGUGGUGCUAUGGUGUCUUUUCCUUCAUUUAGGAUGAAAAGUGAGCUAGAAGCCUGUGCUUCUUUUUAUUUAUGUAUUUAUUAUUGUUAUUAAUACAAGUUCUUUUAGAAGAGAAAGGGAAGGGGGAGGCUUUUUUUUUUUUUUUUUUUUU